UUGACGGGGACCCGCACAAGCGGUGGAUGAUGUGGAUUAAUUCGAUGCAACGCGAAAAACCUUACCUACCCUUGACAUGUCUGGAAUGCCGAAGAGAUUUGGCAGUGCUCGCAAGAGAACCGGAACACAGGUGCUGCAUGGCUGUCGUCAGCUCGUGUCGUGAGAUGUUGGGUUAAGUCCCGCAACGAGCGCAACCCUUGUCAUUAGUUGCUACGAAAGGGCACUCUAAUGAGACUGCCGGUGACAAACCGGAGGAAGGUGGGGAUGACGUCAAGUCCUCAUGGCCCUUAUGGGUAGGGCUUCACACGUCAUACAAUGGUCGGGACAGAGGGUCGCCAACCCGCGAGGGGGAGCCAAUCCCAGAAACCCGAUCGUAGUCCGGAUCGCAGUCUGCAACUCGACUGCGUGAAGUCGGAAUCGCUAGUAAUCGCGGAUCAGCAUGUCGCGGUGAAUACGUUCCCGG
rnacentral:rRNA from 1 species